UGCGUAGGCGGCUUUUUAAGUCGGAUGUGAAAUCCCUGAGCUUAACUUAGGAAUUGCAUUCGAUACUGGAGAGCUAGAGUAUGGGAGAGGAUGGUAGAAUUCCAGGUGUAGCGGUGAAAUGCGUAGAGAUCUGGAGGAAUACCGAUGGCGUAGGCAGCCAUCUGGCCUAAUACUGACACUGAGGAGCGAAAGCAUGGGGAGCGAACAGGAUUAGAUACCCGUGUA
rnacentral:rRNA from 1 species